rfam:Streptococcus macacae NCTC 11558 final_molecule, whole genome shotgun sequence.
GGUCCCGUGGUGUAGCGGUUAUCACGUCGCCCUGUCACGGCGAAGAUCGCGGGUUCAAUUCCCGUCGGGACCG